ACAUAUUUUAGAGCCUAAUUCAUUUUAAUUAAUAAUUAAAAUUACAUUCAAAUCCAAAUUUAAAAUUUUAAUGCUAAAAUUUAUCCUAAAAUAAAUUUAUUGUAAUCCAUCUCUACUUAGAUAAGCUGCACCUUGAUCUGAUUUUCAAUUUAGUAAAAUAUUGAAAUUAUAUAUUUCCGAAAAUAAUUUACAACGACGAUAUACAAGCAAAAUUUAAGUUCUAUUAAUCGUGGAUUAUCGAUUACAGGACAGAUUCCCCUGAUUGGAAUAAAAAACCGCCAAAUUUUUUGAUUUUUAAGAACAUAACUAAUAUUUAUCAAGUCUUAAUAUUUCUACAUCUAGAAUAAUGGGGUAUCUAAUCCCAGUUUAUAAACUAGAUUUCUUAACCUCAUAAUCAAAAUCUUAAUUUAUUAAAAAAUAGGAUUUCACCCAAUAUUUCCUAAAAUAAAAAUCUAUUAUUAUUAACUAAGUAUUAGAACUGUAAAAAAAUAGAAGCAUUAUUUGUUUAACCGCA
rnacentral:rRNA from 1 species